rnacentral:rRNA from 1 species
GCAGGCUGCAACCCGCCUGCAUGAAGCUGGAAUCGCUAGUAAUCGCGGAUCAGAAUGCCGCGGUGAAUACGUUCCCGGGUCUUGUACACACCGCCCGUCACACCAUGGGAGUCGGGAAUGCCCGAAGCCGGUGACCGAACCGCAAGGACGGAGCCGUCGAAGGCAGAUUCGAUAACUGGGGUGAAGUCGUAACAAGGUAUC